rnacentral:tRNA from 1 species
AUGCUGCGCGGCACGGCGCGCAGGUGCCGCGCCAUUUCCUGGGUGGCGCGGGUGUCGAAGUACGCUUUUUCGCGCAGGGUG